CACGGAUUGACUUUGUCGGGUUCACCGUCACAAUACGCUUUUUCCCGUGAAUUUACGCUUUCAGUUUUUUUUCUUCAACACGUCUAUAUUUAUUUUCUAUAUCCAAGAGGUGGUACUAAUCUCAUCCGCAAAAAAGGUUGUUUUCCUUACGUUUAUUUGUUUUCCGUGCGUUUAUUAGAUUGGGCUAUUGCGAUGCGUCUCAAUUGGGCUGGGCGAGACCGAGUCUCCUUCUUGUUAUUUCAUCAAUCGAUCUCCUUCUUUCUUUCGUCCGCAAAGGACACCCGGUCUCCUUCCUCUUCUUCUUUGAUACAACCCUGUCUUCUUUCUCUUUUUAGUCCAAUCUUCCACUUUUCAAUCCUUUUUGUGAUACAAAUAAAUACAUCUAUUCCAUCGAACAAGCCCUCCCAAGGAGAGGACCAGCGUCGUCCCCGGCCUCUGGCGACCGGCCGGCGAGCCCAACGCCGGAGCACCACCAACACCCGCAGCCCCCAGCGCCCAGCCUUCCUACACGCUCAAGAGCAGGAGACGAACGCCCGCUCGGGAGGAGAACCCGAGUGCGCCCGCGCCACCCUGAGCCGCCACCGGGGGAAGCUCCCGCCGCUCGCCGGCGACGUGCAGGAUCCCGCGACCCCAACGCCGCCGCUCUGCCUGCCUCCUCUCUCUCUAUUUCUUCCUUCCCUUCUUCUCUGGUUCUCUCUCUCAUAUUUCUCUCUCUUCACUGUCCCGUAGCAGGAACAGCCGCUGGCGCUCGUCCCCGACCAACUCCGGUGCCCUGGCCUCACCGCCAAAGCUGGGAGCCAUCCCCACCGGCCGGAUCUGAUGCGCAGCCACCUCGCUGUUGCGCCGCCAUCACCCCUGCAACGGAUCAUCCCGCCCUCCACCUCUUUUUCGUCGGGGAGACGACGAACUCGUCCUCGAGCAUUGACCGCGCGCCCGCGUUCGUGGGCUGCAUCCACGGGCGAUCGAUCACCGCCUCAUGUACGCCGCCGGGCGUCGGACUAAUUUUCAUAAGCUUCAUUCAUAUGUGACAUCAGGAAGCUUCAAAAAACAGGAGAAGUGCAAGAAAACGUCGCCCCAAACAAAUCGCAACUUGCCAGCCUCCGCAACAGCCGUCAGAACCAUGGCUCACGGACGCCUGCUCCGCGGAUCGGCGGAUCCUUCCCUGGUGCCAUGCUUCAGCGGCUUGUGCUGCUCGGUAUCCCUCGUCCAAAUAAUCGGUAUGUCUGUUCAAAAAAAAAAAUCGGUAUGUGUCCUUCCUGCGGCUACACCUUCAGGAUUUUCACCGCCACCAUGCUUCGGAGGCUUGCUGUUGUUCUUGUCCUCUUUGCUGCUGUGCGCAAGCGCACCUACGCAUAUAUGGUUCUGGCCCAGGGAGCACAACUCUCUAACUCUUGCCCUUCUGUCGUUGAUCUAGGUAUGCACCCCCGAUGCUAUUACAGCUAAUCUCUGAUAAAGAAGUUUUUGGUCCUGAUGCAACUCAUUGACGAACGCAAUUAGGCUUGUAGACUGGCUUCCAAUCUCCAUUGAUUCUCAUUCAUGCACUGACUGCUAUUCUAAACAAUUAUUAUUAGAUAUUAAUAUUAAUGGAGCAUCAAUGUUUUUUGAAAAAAUUUAAUAAGCAGAUAACUCAAGGCUUUCAUUUUUUAUGUAGAUAAGCAGCAGGAGUAUUUCAUAGAUCACGGACCCCAUGUAGUCUGACGUUCAAGGAGGGAAUCUGGCUCAGGAUGCCUGUGUCCAUAUUGUACUUUUGAUAUCUGACUUUCAUAUUGUACUAUGAUGAUCGUGGAUCGUGUGUGCAUAUUGUACUUUUGAUGAGCUACACUUUUAAGGAAUCUGAUUUCAGGAGUCUGAUGGUAAGGUAAGUGUUAAUGUGUUAUUUAGUGUUAGUUUAGUGCAGCUGCUCCCCUGAGGCCCUGACUGGCUUCUUAGCUCCCUCUCCACUUACCUGUCAGCUGGGCGUGUUGAUUCGAUCUUUUGAUCUGGAAAAAUUGACACACUAGGACGUACACAAAAACUUUAAGGUUAGUUCGUACAUGAUUGAAUCUUCUCCGUGCAAAAACUGACAAUACACAAAUUGUAGCAAAAUCAAUGAGGAGCUGAAUCUGCAGUCUUCCCUUACCGCCCAGUAGUUCCCAAUUUAUUUUUGGAUUUUUAUUGUUAUUUGGUAAGCAUAGCACCUGAUUUACAGUGAAGUGCAUCUAUCAAUUUAAUUGUUUGACCGUUAAUACACAGUACAUCCGUGUCCAUGUCGUCAAUGUGUUGCUCGCCGACCGUACUGUUCUCGAGAUCCGCCUUGAAGACGGUGGAUCGGGCCUUCAGCACACAUCGUUCGUUAGCAUCUCCGCCUGAUGCUUCUAUAGGAAGAGAGACCCCCAUACUUAUAUUUUUAAUCCACAUGGAUAGUACAAUUUUUUUUAAUCCACAUGGAUAGUUCUGUAGAAAAAUUGUUAUUUUGUAGUCUUCUUAACUUGGCUAAUGAAUAUCCACUCUUCAUGUGACAAGAAGUGCAUGAACUUGGCUAAUGUUUAGGGGCAUAAGCAUGAUCAUGUCAAAAGUGCAUACAAGCAUCAUGUAAUUAUGUUCUUACAGAGAUAACAUUCAGUUUAGUAAUCUCUCUUGGCUGAGGGAUUUGACUACCCUUCAUCAGAGCGUGUUAGAGCUAUGGAUACUGAACUCGCAAGAUUCCUUUUUUGUAUGUCCGCAGGGAAGUGUUGACUACUUGAACAUGCUGGAAAGUGUUGACUACUUGGAGUAACUUGCAAGUAACAGAUGUUUUGACAACAAUAACUGCUACCAAUGAGGACCACUGGCAAGAUAUAGCACAACAACCUGGUCCCUGUUCCGUAAAGGUUGGCCUGAUCCCUGUUGAAAUCAAUUUGGCGUGGUACAUUAGUUGUAUUGUUCACCCUGCAUGUUUUUUUUCACUUUCCUAAAGUAUGUUUGAGUAUAGCUUAUGGUUUAUUUAUAAGCUUGUGAGUUAAUUAAAGCUCACUUGGUGGUUCUAACUAAUUAUACUAAAAUAUGACCAUGACCGAAAGAUAGAUGGAGGUUCAGAUGCAGAGUGAAAGCCUGCACCAACAAGUUGUAGUUGUAUAUGGAACCUGGCGACUUGAUGGUGAGCACUAACCUUCACUCCGCAAGAAUCCUUUUUGACACUUACUCUGUAGAAAAAACCUUUCAGUUUAAUAUAUUCUGCUAUUGUGGUUAAUAGAUCAAUGAACAAUCAUUUGAAUUGUGCUCCAUGAUAUUCAAGCUACUAUUGUAAGAAAUUGAAAGAUGUUCAUGUUUUGCCGCCCUCGUGUUUGUCUUGACACGCUGGCGCUACUGUUAGUUGCUUUCCACGCAAAUAAGAACAUAAUACAUCAACACUCUUCUUAGUGUUGGUGUUGAAAUACAGGACUUUGAUGUGGGAUGUAGCCAUGCUUAUUGGACUAGGCAUCUAAGAAUUUUUUUCCCGUUGCAACGCACGGGUAUUUUUGCUAUCUUUCCCUAAUAAUAAAGCACGGAUUUACUUUGUCGGGUUCACCGUCACAAUACGCUUCUUCCUGUGAUUUUAUGCUUUCAGUUUGAAUUUAAAACAUAUUCGAGGUGGUACUAAAUUUUCGCUCUAUCUAUUUCGCCGCGUCUGAUUUAAUUCCGUAGGUGGCUGAUUCGCUGAAAAAAUAUGGUUGACGCCGCUGGGAUUUGAUUCAUGGUCUGCCAUGUAUAGAUUGCAGCGCAGCAGACCACUAAGGCUAGGCUCCUAAGCUUGCUAAUUUGGGCGUCUGGAACCUUAAGAAUAAAGGACAGGCGUACUCGGGCCGAGAUCAACAGGCACGGUCGUGAUGGGCAUGUACGAGUGCCGCGGCCCACUGGACGGACAAGGGACCAGGCUGGAAGUUGUUUUUCAUAUUUGUUUACUUGUCAAAUAGUCCCACCUUGCUAUUUUACAUUAAUUUUUACCAGUUUAUAUACAAUUUUUAGGUUGUCAGGCAUCAAGAAGCUGCUUUGGAAAUUAAGCAAAGAAAUAAAGAAAGGAAAUAGACAUUCUUUGCAUGAGAAAUAAAGAAGGAAGAUGGUAAUUAUGUGGAGCCGGCAAGAAAGGUAAUAUGUAUUGAAUAAGAAAUAAAGAAGGAAGAAAAGCGAUGGUAAUUAUGUGGGUGCCAUAUUAAUCGCAUGAGUAAUUAGCAGGCCUAGCAAAAAAGAAAAAAUAAUUGCAUGAGAAAUAAAGAAGGAAGGAGAAAGAGAGAGGAAGGAAAUGGACGGUAAUUAUGUGGGCAUCAUGAUAUAAGGAAAGAAAGAGAAAGAAAAACUAAUUAACAGGAGGUGCGGGAAUCAAUGGCAGGUUGCCAUGCCAUCUUAUGAGUAAAAAUGAUGUGGCAUUUUUUAAUCCUCACUAAAUUCAUGUCAUUUUUUUCUUCCAUUAUGUUUUCCUUGCUCUUAUAAUCUUUACUAAAUUUGCGCCAAAUUUGUAGCACAUUGAACAUUAUGUUUGCACAUACAAUCCUCACUAAAUUUAUGUCAAAUGUUUCAA